rnacentral:lncRNA from 1 species
GAUGACGAUGAUGAAAAGAUAUCAGCUUUGUAUGGAAAAGAUGGACGUGGGGCAACCUUAGAAGAAUUAAUGGACAGGAGGCACUUCAGUGAAAUUCCAGAGUUUCGUUUAUCAGUCAAGAAAAUAUUUCUAUGUGACACAGCUGAAGAACUCUCUGAAAGGAUAACUUGUUACACACGGAGUGACACACAGAGUGAUACAUUUAAAAGACAGUAUUGGCCGCUUGUGAAGUGUAUAACCAUCAAGGUGCCAAACUCCAAAGACCUGCUGGAGCAUGUUGUGCUGGUUGAUCUUCCAGGCAAUGGAGACUGCAACAAGAGCAGAGAUGAGAUGUGGAAAUCAGUAAUUAUUUACAAUUCUUAUUGAUGAUGAUCCCAUGUUCUGUUUAGAAUUGUAUUCAUCCAACUUUUAAUUUGGUUGAUGUUUGUUGGAAACUGCUCUGCUGUGUGGAUUGUGAGCGACAUUGCAAGAGCAACUUCAGAAAAGGAAUCUUGGGAGAUUUUAGACAGCACCGUUGGCCUCUUUGGACCUGGUGGAGAAUGUCGAAGCAUCAGUUUCAUCUGCACCAAGACAGACGACAUUGAGGAGAAUCAAAAGGCUGAUGCACGUACCUGUAUUUUGCGCAGAAAUGAAACAACCAAGAGGCAAGUCAGGGACAAAUUCAACAAACAAAAAGAAAUGAAGAAACACUUCAGUGGGGGAAAGGAUUUCCUUCAGGUGUUUACUGUGAGUUCCAAGGAAUACCAAAAGGAAAAGCAUUUGCAAAAAGAAG